rnacentral:rRNA from 1 species
AACGCUAGCUACAGGCUUAACACAUGCAAGUCGAGGGGCAGCAUGGUCUUAGCUUGCUAAGGCUGAUGGCGACCGGCGCACGGGUGAGUAACACGUAUCCAACCUGCCGUCUACUCUUGGCCAGCCUUCUGAAAGGAAGAUUAAUCCAGGAUGGGAUCAUGAGUUCACAUGUCCGCAUGAUUAAAGGUAUUUUCCGGUAGACGAUGGGGAUGCGUUCCAUUAGAUAGUAGGCGGGGUAACGGCCCACCUAGUCUUCGAUGGAUAGGGGUUCUGAGAGGAAGGUCCCCCACAUUGGAACUGAGACACGGUCCAAACUCCUACGGGAGGCAGCAGUGAGGAAUAUUGGUCAAUGGGCGCGAGCCUGAACCAGCCAAGUAGCGUGAGGGAUGACGGCCCUAUGGGUUGUAAACCUCUUUUAUGCGGGAAUAAAAUGUUUGACGUGUCAUACAUUGUAGGUACCGCAAGAAUAAGGACCGGCUAAUUCCGUGCCAGCAGCCGCGGUAAUACGGAAGGUCCAGGCGUUAUCCGGAUUUAUUGGGUUUAAAGGGAGCGUAGGCCGCAAGUCAAGCGUGUUGUGAAAUGCAGGGGCUCAACCUCUGGAUUGCAGCGCGAACUGGCAUGCUUGAGUACGCACGAGGUAGGCGGAAUUUGUGGUGUAGCGGUGAAAUGCUUAGAUAUCACGAAGAACUCCGAUUG